UACGAAGGGGGCUAGCGUUGCUCGGAAUCACUGGGCGUAAAGCGCACGUAGGCGGCUUUCUAAGUCGGGGGUGAAAUCCUGGAGCUCAACUCCAGAACUGCCUUCGAUACUGGAGAGCUUGAGUCCGGAAGAGGUGAGUGGAACUCCGAGUGUAGAGGUGAAAUUCGUAGAUAUUCGGAAGAACACCAGUGGCGAAGGCGGCUCACUGGUCCGGUACUGACGCUGAUGUGCGAAAGCGUGGGGAGCAAACAGG
rnacentral:rRNA from 1 species